GCGAAAAUGGACAACCAGGUAUGACAACGGGCUCCAGACUCGUUUAUCGGGAGUUCAAAUCUCUCCGUCCCCA
rnacentral:tRNA from 1 species